CUAGACUCAAAUUCAACACAGUGAUCUCCUUUGUUCCACAGAUUUUACCAGUAAAGUUAGCGAUAGCAGAGGAAUAACAUCCCUCUUCUCUGCAGAGAGAAUCCAUGGCUGGAAGGUUUAUCAAUAUACAGUCUGCACGGGUUUAAUACAUGACAAGGAGACAAGCAAUCUGUGGAGAAUGGCAGUGGAUGUGAUGCAGAUCAGCAAGAAAGAGAAAUUAAGGAUGAAAAGACAGCAGUUUCUGAAGAAUCAGUACCGUGGAGGUUCCUAA
rnacentral:lncRNA from 1 species